rnacentral:rRNA from 1 species
CCAAUAGCGUAUAUUAAAGUUGUUGCAGUUAAAAAGCUCGUAGUUGAACUUCGGGAUUUGCUCAUUGGUCAGGCUUCACUGUCUGUACUGGUUUAACGAAUUCCUACCUUCUGAUGAAUCUUCAUGCCAUUCACUUGGUGCGGAGGGGAAUCAGGACUGUUACUUUGAAAAAAUUAGAGUGUUUAAAGCAGGCUAUUGCUCGAAUACAUUAGCAUGGAAUAAUAGAAUAGGACGGUUGGUUCUAUUUUGUUGGUUUCUAGGAUCACCGUAAUUAUUAAUAGGGAUAGUUGGGGGCAUUAGUAUUCAAUUGUCAGAGGUGAAAUUCUUGGAUUUAUUGAAGACUAACUACUGCGAAAGCAUUUGCCAAGGAUGUUUUCAUUAAUCAAGAACGAAAGUUAGGGGAUCGAAGACGAUCAGAUACCGUCGUAGUCUUAACCAUAAACUAUGCCGACUAGGGAUCGGACGAAGUUAAUUUUUAAAUGACUCGUUCGGCACCUUACG